AUAGUCGGCAGUUCCAAACGAUGUCGAUUUUGCCUUUUCUCACAUGUAUUAUAUACAGUUAUAUAUAUAAAUGAAUGAAAACUCGUGCCUUUCACUCUCAUAGAGACUGCUCUUAUUACUGAGAUUUGUAUUUUUACCUUUAGCCAGUAUUUUAGAAUACGCUUUUCCCGAUUUUAUAAUAAGGUUUUUUUAAACUAUUAUAUUCAGACUAAGGCUACAUCGCAUGUCAUAACUAAGUGGGGUAAAUGAGGUUCUUAAAUCUUUGGCUGCUUGGUCAAAUUUUGAGUGUUACUUUCGGCUGACUCUGUGCUGUUUUUUGCCAGGUGGUUGCUAUACGAAGCGUCAGCAUUAAUAUUCUAUUUGGUCUCAUAAGUGAAUAUCGUUUUUGAAUAAACAGCACGAUGGUGGCGGCCCCGCGCUGGCGGGUAGCCUAUUAACGGGUGUCAUCAGCUUCGGUUCUCCACACUGCGGCCGCGUCGAUGCGCCCACAGUCUUCACGCGAAUCGGUCUUUACGCAGACUGGAUUGAUAGCGUCUUGGAUAGCGUUGCGAUUGCCGACGGUAAGCUAGCUAAUCCACACACAUUUCAAACUCCUGGGUCUAUCGAUAUCGGAGUUCCAAGUGAAGAACUUGAUAAGAUGGAAUUAGAACUAGAAAAUCCUCGAGAAGUAUUACAAAGAGAAUUCGGAUUGAAAGAUAUACUUAAUGGGCCUAUAGAUAAACUUACAAAUGGGACAAUUAAGCCCUCGGUUAGAGUAAAUGACCAUUUAGAAAAUCCAGAGCAUAUUUCUGAUGCGAUCCGCAGUAAAAUUACUGAUGUGGUGCACUCUGACGUAGAUCAGAUCAACUUUUCUGAUGAGCCUGAAGAACGCUCAACUAUAAUACCGGAGCAACCGGCACUGUUCGAAGAAAAUGAUACAGUAGAAGAUGCACAUGAUGAAAGUGAUUCUUUUACCAACUUUAUUAAGAUACUUUUUGAAAACGGUAAGAUUACCAAAAAUGAAGAUCCUGGAAUUAUCAGGUCAGAAGAGUAUGAACAGGUUGACAUUCUGAAUCUUAAUUCAGAUCCCACUACUACGACCCCAGCUCGACCCGAAUAUUUUAACGAAGAAGAGUCAACGACACAACGUUUUGACGUCCCACGUGAUGUACCAGUGACAAGAAUGCUUGACUGGGAGUUAGGUAGCAACGAUACAUCUAAAGAAACCACGAGGUCGCUUGAAGUCUUUGAUCUUCAAUAUCAAAUAGAUAUUAAACCUAUUUCUAUGCGCAAAACUGAUAGAAUGGGUCAUAAUAAAUCGAUUAUUAUCUUGUCUAAUAGCGGAACUACUCAGCGCAUUAAUAUAAAAAAUACAAAUAAAUUAAAUGUUAAACUCACAAAAGCAAUCAAAGACUUAAUCGAACAUAUUAAUGACAUUCCAUUAAAAAACACUGAUACAGCCAAGAAAACAUAUUAUGCUAAGUAACAUCUACAAAGUGUAACACUAGGGUAAAUAUUGUAAAAUAUAUUGGUAUGUUUUAUUCA